rnacentral:tRNA from 1 species
UGGGGUGUGGCCAAGUGGUAAGGCGGCGGACUUUGAAUCCGCAAUGCGUUGGUUCGAUCCCAGCCACCCCAG